UCAUCAGAAAGGAUAAUCCUUACCUGUUUCUCUAUUCAGAGCGCACAUGGAACAUGAUAAUUGGAGUUCGAAUGAUUCAUGAUUAAUGUCUAUGCAAGAUUAGGGAUUGCAACACCCUAAUCCCUCCUAUCCUGAU
ensembl:snoRNA U8 U8 small nucleolar RNA